CCGUAACUAUAACGGUCCUAAGGUAGCGAAAUUCCUUGUCGGGUAAGUUCCGACCCGCACGAAAGGCGUAAUGAUUUGGGCACUGUCUCAACGAGAGACUCGGUGAAAUUUUAGUACCUGUGAAGAUGCAGGUUACCCGCGACAGGACGGAAAGACCCCAUGGAGCUUUACUGCAGUUUGAUAUUGAGUGUCUGUACCACAUGUACAGGAUAGGUAGGAGUCUAUGAGAUCGGGACGCCAGUUUCGAAGGAGACGUUGUUGGGAUACUACCCUUGUGUUAUGGCCACUCUAACCCAGAUAGGUGAUCCCUAUCGGAGACAGUGUCUGACGGGCAGUUUGACUGGGGCGGUCGCCUCCUAAAAGGUAACGGAGGCGCCCAAAGGUUCCCUCAGAAUGGUUGGAAAUCAUUCGCAGAGUGCAAAGGCAUAAGGGAGCUUGACUGCGAGACCUACAAGUCGAGCAGGGACGAAAGUCGGGCUUAGUGAUCCGGUGGUACCGCAUGGAAGGGCCAUCGCUCAACGGAUAAAAGCUACCCUGGGGAUAACAGGCUUAUCUCCCCCAAGAGUUCACAUCGACGGGGAGGUUUGGCACCUCGAUGUCGGCUCAUCGCAUCCUGGGGCGGUAGUACGUCCCAAGGGUUGGGCUGUUCGCCCAUGAAAGCGGUACGCGAGCUGGGUUCAGAACGUCGUGAGACAGUUCGGUCCAUAUCCGGUGUAUGCGUAGGAAUAUUGAGAGGAUUUCUCCCUAGUACGAGAGGACCGGGAGGAACGCACCUCUGGUGUACCAGUUAUCGUGCCAACGGUAAACGCUGGGUAGCCAUGUGCGGAGUGGAUAACCGCUGAAAGCAUCUAAGUGGGAAGCCCACCUCAAGAUGAGUAUUCCCAUGGGGUAACCCAGUAAGGUCACGGGAAGAACACCCGUUGAUAGGCUCUACGUCGAAGUUCAGUAAUGGAUGCAGCGGAGGAGUACUAAUAGACCGAGGAGAUCGGA
rnacentral:rRNA from 1 species